CACGUAGGGGGCAAGCGUUGUCCGGAUUCAUUGGGCGUAAAGAGCUCGUAGGCGGUUCGAUAAGUCGGGUGUGAAACCUCCAGGCUCAACCUGGAGACGCCACCCGAUACUGUCGUGACUAGAGUCCAGUAGGGGAGCGUGGAAUUCCUGGUGUAGCGGUGAAAUGCGCAGAUAUCAGGAGGAACACCGAUGGCGAAGGCAGGUCUCUGGGCCACUACUGACGCUGAGAAGCGAAAGCAUGGGGAGCAAACAGG
rnacentral:rRNA from 1 species